UGAGUAACCUGCCCUGGACUUUGGGAUAACCCUCGGAAACGGGGGCUAAUACCGGAUAUGACGGCUCACCGCAUGGUGUGGUUGUGGAAAAGUUUUUCGGUCUGGGAUGGGCUCGCGGCCUAUCAGCUUGUUGGUGGGGUGAUGGCCUACCAAGGCGACGACGGGUAGCCGGCCUGAGAGGGCGACCGGCCACACUGGGACUGAGACACGGCCCAGACUCCGUACGGGAGGCA
rnacentral:rRNA from 1 species